rnacentral:rRNA from 1 species
AUUGAACGCUGGCGGCAUGCCUUACACAUGCAAGUCGAACGGCAGCACGGGAGCAAUCCUGGUGGCGAGUGGCGAACGGGUGAGUAAUAUAUCGGAACGUGCCCAGUUGUGGGGAUAACGUAGCGAAAGCUACGCUAAUACCGCAUACGAUCUAUGGAUGAAAGCGGGGGAUCGCAAGACCUCGCGCGAUUGGAGCGGCCGAUAUCAGAUUAGGUAGUUGGUGAGGUAAAGGCUCACCAAGCCGACGAUCUGUAGCUGGUCUGAGAGGACGACCAGCCACACUGGGACUGAGACACGGCCCAGACUCCUACGGGAGCAGCAGUGGGGAAUUUUUGGACAAUGGGCGCAAGCCUGAUCCAGCAAUGCCGCGUGCAGGAUGAAGGCCUCGGUUGUAAC